rnacentral:rRNA from 2 species
UACACAUGCCAGUCGAAACGGCAGCACGGGAGCAAUCCUGGUGGCGAGUGGCGAACGGGUGAGUAAUAUAUCGGAACGUGCCCAGUCGUGGGGGAUAACGUANAGAAAUUUACGCUAAUACCGCAUACGAUCUAAGGAUGAAAGCGGGGGAUUCGCAAGAACCUCGCGCGAUUGGAGCGGCUGAUAUCAGAUUAGGUUGUUGGUGAGGUAAAAGCUCACCAAGCCGACGAUCUGUAGCUGGUUUGAGAGAACGACCAGCCACACUGGGACUGAGACACGGCCCAGACUCCUACGGGAGGCAGCAGUGGGGAAUUUUGGACAAUGGGCGAAAGCCUGAUCCAGCAAUGCCGCGUGCAGGAAGAAGGCCUUCGGGUUGUAAACUGCUUUUGUACGGAACGAAAAGGUCUGCCCUAAUACGGCGGGCCCAUGACGGUACCGUAAGAAUAAGCACCGGCUAACUACGUGCCAGCAGCCGCGGUAAUACGUAGGGUGCGAGCGUUAAUCGGAAUUACUGGGCGUAAAGCGUGCGCAGGCGGUUAUGUAAGACAGUUGUGAAAUCCCCGGGCUCAACCUGGGAAUUGCAUCUGUGACUGCAUAGCU